GGAUGGGCUGCCAUCAGGGAUCAUAGGUCUCAUGAGCAGACUGUCACCGGAUGGUGAUGAAAACGUUCUAAAAUUGUUUGUGGUGAUGGAUGCACAGCUUUGUGAAUGUCCUAAAAACUACUGUCUUGUACACUUGAUGGAGAUCCUAGGCUUGCUGAGCCUCCAAGUACUGCAUGAAGAAACAAGUGGCUGCAAGGAGGAAGUUAAACCCUUCUCAGGCACCACCCCAUCCAGGAAACCACUCCCCAAGAGGAAGAACACGUGGAACUUCCUGAAAUGCGCCUACAUGGUGAUGACCUACCUCUUCGUAUCCUACAACAAAGGGGACUGGUUCACUUUUUCCUCCCAAGUGUUACUGCCACUACUGUAACUUGGAACUGGACAUCAGGGAUGAUCCCUGCUGUUCUUUCUAGUGAGCCUGCUCCAUCUCAGCUUAGCCUUCACAAGGCCUCCAUCUCCCAGGCAUUCUAACCUCUGAAGAAAGCUCUCUGUCCCCUGGACUGCCUGUGUGGAGGGUAAUGAACUGGGUCCUUUAAGGAAUGGCACCUGGGUGCCCAGAGGCAUGGCCAGAAGGUGUCUGUGGGGGCCAUGCCUUAGGGGGAUGCACCCAGGGCGGCUGAGAGAGCAACUGCAGGAGUUUCCCCUAAAAUCUCUCCUCCAGAUCGUUCUCGAACUUUCCCCACUACUUCCAUAAUAAAAUGUAUACUUGUUGAAA
rnacentral:lncRNA from 1 species